ACUCUGUCAGAGGGCCCCUGUCACUCUGGUAUGUGGACACAAACCAAAAGCUGAUCAGGUACAACAUUGUACUUUUCGGUGCAGUAGAUGGCUACUCCAGGAAGGUGAUGUGUUUGGAGGCUGCAACAAAUAAUCAUGCAUCAACAGUAUUG